rnacentral:lncRNA from 1 species
GGAGACCUGAGGUUGUGCAAAGAAGAAAAAGAAAUCACGAUUAUCUAAUAGUUCCUGCUGCAGUCAAGAUGAGGAAACUGAGGCCCAAAGAGGUAUCCAAAAUUCAACCCCCAUCCAGUGUUUCAAGAUUUGGGAAUGAACAUCAUAAAAUCCUGUAAUGUUAGGACCAUUUCACUGCUGGGGAGGGCGGCAGCAGCCGGACAAGAGGUCAGGAGGAAGCAUUCAGUCCCGGACACCCUGCCUGCUACCAGGAGACCUGUUGGGGUGGAUGCCACUGGGCCGGAUGCCGGAAACGGGAGACACAGGAUGCGGUGCCCAGGGCCCUGCCAAUGCCAGGGCCUGCCCCAAAGAACUGGAUGUCAACAAACAGAAACCCAUUCAGAUGCUGCAGCAGGCGGGGUUCCCAUGGCAACCAAGGGCUCCCCAGCAACUCCACAUCCCUUCUCUUAUGGACUAAACUUUCCAUGUGAUCACUUUGGGUCUCAGUGA